rnacentral:rRNA from 1 species
AUUAGAGUUUGAUCCUGGCUCAGAUUGAACGCUGGCGGCAGGCUUAACACAUGCAAGUCGAGCGGUAGCACAGGGGAGCUUGCUCCCUGGGUGACGAGCGGCGGACGGGUGAGUAAUGUCUGGGAAACUGCCUGAUGGAGGGGGAUAACUACUGGAAACGGUAGCUAAUACCGCAUAACGUCGCAAGACCAAAGAGGGGGACCUUCGGGCCUCUUGCCAUCAGAUGUGCCCAGAUGGGAUUAGCUAGUAGGUGGGGUAAUGGCUCACCUAGGCGACGAUCCCUAGCUGGUCUGAGAGGAUGACCAGCCACACUGGAACUGAGACACGGUCCAGACUCCUACGGGAGGCAGCAGUGGGGAAUAUUGCACAAUGGGCGCAAGCCUGAUGCAGCCAUGCCGCGUGUGUGAAGAAGGCCUUCGGGUUGUAAAGCACUUUCAGCGAGGAGGAAGGUGGUGAGCUUAAUACGCUCAUCAAUUGACGUUACUCGCAGAAGAAGCACCGGCUAACUCCGUGCCAGCAGCCGCGGUAAUACGGAGGGUGCAAGCGUUAAUCGGAAUUACUGGGCGUAAAGCGCACGCAGGCGGUUUGUUAAGUCAGAUGUGAAAUCCCCGGGCUCAACCUGGGAACUGCAUUUGAAACUGGCAAGCUAGAGUCUCGUAGAGGGGGGUAGAAUUCCAGGUGUAGCGGUGAAAUGCGUAGAGAUCUGGAGGAAUA